rnacentral:rRNA from 1 species
AGCGAACGCUGGCGGCAGGCUUAAUACAUGCAAGUCGUGGGGCAGCAGGUCUGUAGCAAUACAGAUGCUGGCGACCGGCAAACGGGUGCGGAACACGUACACAACUUUCCUUUAAGUGGGGAAUAGCCCAGAGAAAUUUGGAUUAAUACCCCGUAACAUAGUGAAAAGGCAUCUUUUUAUUAUUAUAGCAGCAAUGCGCUUAAUGAUGGGUGUGCGUCUGAUUAGGUAGUUGGCGGAGUAAUAGCCCACCAAGCCUACGAUCAGUAACUGGUGUGAGAGCACGACCAGUCACACGGGCACUGAGACACGGGCCCGACUCCUACGGGAGGCAGCAGUAAGGAAUAUUGGGCAAUGGACGCAAGUCUGACCCAGCCAUGCCGCGUGGAGGAUGAAGGUCCUCUGGAUUGUAAACUUCUUUUAUCUGGGAAGAAAUCCAUCUUUUCUUGGGUGGUUGACGGUACCAGAUGAAUAAGCACCGGCUAACUCCGUGCCAGCCGCCGCGGUAA